UUCAAAGUAAAAUGACAAUCUAUCCUAGCCAUGGAAGAGCAUGAUUCUUGUUGAUGGCAAAGCUGUCACCUUUUAAUUGGUAUCAGAUUCUGACUGGCACAAGGAACAUGC
ensembl:snoRNA